rnacentral:rRNA from 1 species
UACGUAGGGGGCAAGCGUUGUCCGGAAUCAUUGGGCGUAAAGCGCGUGUAGGCGGUCCGGUAAGUCCGCCGUGAAAGUCGGGGGCUCAACCCUCGGAUGCCGGUGGAUACUGUCGGGCUUGAGUACGGAAGAGGCGAGUGGAAUUCCUGGUGUAGCGGUGAAAUGCGUAGAUAUCAGGAGGAACGCCGGUGGCGAAAGCGACUCUCUGGGCCGAUUCCUGACACUAAAGUGCGAAAGCUAGGGGAGCAAACAGG